AGAUUUGCUCUUCUGUUUAUAGUCUCAACAAAGUGAAUCUUAUAAGCAUUCAAACAUUUUAGCAGUAAUCCUUCAGGUGGUUCUGUGACCAAUGCAUUGUCAUCAAUUUCUUCUGAAUUGUCUCUCAGGAAUGUAGUACACCAGAAGAGGGUGCUGGAUCCCAUGGAGCUGGAGUUACAGGUCAUUUCGAGAUGCCUGAACUGAAUUCUGGGUCCUCUUCAAGAGUCGUAUGCAAUUUUAAUCUUUGAGCCAUCUCUCUAGCCCAAAAGUUUGAAUUGCAUUUCAUGCAUUCAUGCAUGCAUGCAUUCAUUGGGUGGGGAGGCACACAACUCACAGGAUUCCAUGGAACUGAAGUUAUUGUCCAAAGAUCAUAGGGUCAGUGACAUUCCAUAAGAAAAUGUCUUCAGUGCCUCAAGACUUUAAAGAGGGUCUGGAUCCAGACAAUAUAGUACCUUCACACAAAGGCAUGAAGAUGGUGAUCAGAAGUUCAAGGUUAUCUUCGGCUACAUAGUGAGUUUGGGGCCAGGACUAUAUGAGAAAAGAAGACAGCUGCAGAUCCCACUACACCAUUUAAGGCACAGAAGAAACAGCAGCUAGUCAGCAAGCCUGCAAUAAAACCUUCUCUCUCUUCAGUUACAUUGAGCAAAAAUAGAAAAGCUAUUGAAACAAAGACUAAAGAAAAUUCAAGACCGUGAGCUUCAAGUGUGACUCCUAUGGAUUUCAGUCUUCCUGAUGCUGGACCUGUUAUUCUUGUACUCCUGUAUAUCCAUGAGAGUUUUCUUCCUGUUCUGUCAAGAUAAUUUUGUGCUGAGGAGGAGGAAGUGGAGUUUUCUGUUUGGGAGCUGAAAGCCUGGAUUCUUACAUAUGUACCUUAACAUUGGUGCUGACUGUGCUAUACAAUUAACAUGUACACAGGCUUCUAUCAUCUGUAUUCCCCCAGAAAACAUCACCAAAUACAAGAAAAUUCUAAAUGUAG
rnacentral:lncRNA from 1 species